GCCCGGGUGGCUCAGUAGGUUAAGCAUCUGACUUCAGCUCAGGUCAUGAUGUUGUGGUUCGUGGGUUUGAGCCCCGCAUCAGGCU
rnacentral:tRNA from 1 species